GAUGAACGCUGGCGGCGUGCCUAACACAUGCAAGUCGAGCGAACCCUUCGGGGUGAGCGGCGGACGGGUGAGUAACGCGUGGGUAACCUGCCCUAUACACACGGAUAACGUACCGAAAGGUACGCUAAUACGGGAUAAAGUUGUUGGAUGGCAUCUUCUAACAAUCAAAGCUCCGGCGGUAUAGGAUGGACCCGCGUCUGAUUAGCUAGUUGGUGAGGUAAUGGCUCACCAAGGCGACGAUCAGUAGCCGACCUGAGAGGGUGAUCGGCCACACUGGAACUGAGACACGGUCCAGACUCCUACGGGAGGCAGCAGUGGGGAAUAUUGCACAAUGGGCGAAAGCCUGAUGCAGCAACGCCGCGUGAGCGAUGAAGGUCUUCGGAUCGUAAAGCUCUGUCCUCAAGGAAGAUAAUGACGGUACUUGAGGAGGAAGCCCCGGCUAACUACGUGCCAGCAGCAGCCGCGG
rnacentral:rRNA from 1 species